rnacentral:rRNA from 1 species
CGGCGGUGAUCCAAGUCCCUUGGAACUGGGCGUCAUAGAGGGUGAGAAUCCCGUAGACGAUCGACCGCCAAUCCCGUGUGAGGCCCUUUCGACGAGUCGAGUUGUUUGGGAAUGCAGCUCUAAAUGGGUGGUAAAUUUCAUCUAAAGCUAAAUACCUGCCAGAGACCGAUAGCGCACAAGUAGAGUGAUCGAAAGAUGAAAAGCACUUGAAAAGAGAGUUAAACAGUACGUGAAAUUGUUGAAAGGGAAGCGCUCGCAACCAGACUCGCUCGCGGGGGCUCAGCCGUCCCGAGGGACGGUCCACUCCCCCGCGAUCGGGCCAGCAUCGGUUUCGGCGGCCGGACAAAAACCCCGGGAACGUAGCUCCCUUCGGGGAACAUUAUAGCCCGGGGUGUAAUGCGGCCAGCCGGGACCGAGGACCGCGCUUUGCUAGGAUGCUGCGUAAUCUUCGGAACGCGCGAGUGCUUGGGUGUCAACCCAUGCGCGUAAUGAAAGUGAACGGAGGUGGGAGCCCCCGGGCGCACCAUCGACCGAUCCUGAUGUCUUCGGAUGGAUUUGAGUAUGAGCGUUGCUGGUCGGACCCGAAAGAUGGUGAACUAUGCGUGAAUAGGGUGAAGCCAGAGGAAACUCUGGUGGAGGCUCGCAGCGGUUCUGACGUGCAAAUCGAUCGUCAAAUUUGCGUAUAGGGGCGAAAGACUAAUCGAACCGUCUAGUAGCUGGUUCCUGUCGAAGUUUCCCUCAGGAUAGCAGCAACGAAAAACAGUCUCAUGAGGUAGAGC